AGAGAAUCUGUCUUGUUAUGAAAAUGCUGAAUAGUGGAAUGGAGAAAGGUAGUAUAAUAUAAAGUCACUCUAAACAGAGCUAAUGAUACCAAAUAGUGAUUUUCAACCUGUGGGUUAUGACCGCUUUGGGGUUGAGCAGUCCUUUCACAGGAGUCAACCUAUCAGAUAUUUACAUUAUGAUUCAUAACAGUAGCAAAAUUGUAAUUAUGAAGUAGCAACAAAAAUAACGUUAUGGUUAGAGGUGACCACAACAUGAGGAACUGUAUUAAAGGGUCACAACAUCAAGAAUGUUGAGAAUCUCUGACAUACAAUCUUAUGAACACCACAUAAAUAAGGUAGGACCAGGAGUCCAGUUUGAUUGUGUUGUUCCUUACAGUCAUUUCCACAAUUAUUCCAAAUGUGCCAUAAGCAAAUUAGACAUAGAUUCUCUUGUCAUUAAAUUGAUUAUUUUGGGUGGCAGGUGUGUGUGUCUAUAGCUGUCACCAAAUCUAUACCAGCAUUGUAAUUUGUAAGGACACUAACCAACAGUCUGUAUUUUCCUGAAUAAAAAAAAAAUCCAGAGGAAAGAAUCCCUAUUCAGCAAUAUAUUAUGAACUACUCUGUUACUGCAGGGAAACAGAAUGGACACCUUCUCAAAAUUGGUUUCAGAUGUUGAUACUAGGCACUUGACACACACCAAGAAGGCAUGAGAAACUUUAUCACAUUCAUAAGUAGUUCUGGAGAAAGCAGAGCAGGCAUUCCAAACAAAUCUGAAAUGGAUCAAGAAAAGCAAGAAAGUAGUACCUAAGCUUUCCCCCUCGCUUUGCAGAUGUGAAGACAACUCAUAGAACAGGGAAAACUCAAAUGCAGAAUUACAAACCAGAAAUUUCUGACUGUUCAACAGGAUCAAGUUCAUGGAAUCAAAGGACUUUUUGCUGGAAAUAUUUGGUAAAAAUGAAAACUCAACGAUACAGAUACUUCAGAAAAUAAAGAUAAGGGCUACAGAAAUGACUCAGCAUUUAAAGCCCUUACUGCUUUUUCAGAAGAUCUGAGUUUGGUUCGUUGUUUCUCCAUGCCAGGAGCUCACCAAUACCUGUAACACUAGCUCCAGGGUAUCCAAUACCUUUGGCCUUCACAAGCAUCUGAACUCAUUUGUACACACACACACACACACACACACACACACACACACACACACACACACUUAAAAAUGAUAUUUUUUAAAGUAAUGAAAAAUAACUACUGAUCAAAUUUUGGAAAUAUGCUAUACAAUUUGCCACAUAUAAUGAAGGCAAUAAUCUAAUAAGAUACUGUUGGCUAACUGCACUUAAAACAAGAACUCAAACAGGAACCUCAUAUAGCUGUCUCCUGAGAGGCUCUGCCAGAGCAUGACAAAUACAGAAGUGGUCGCUUGUUGCCAACCGUUGAACCAAGAAUGAAGUCCCUGGUGGAGGAGUUAGAGAAAGGAUUGAAGGAGCUGAAGGGGCUUGCAACCCCAUAAGAACGAUACCAACCAACCAGAGCUCCCAGGGACUAAAUCACUACCCAAAGACUACACAUGGACAGACCCAUGGCUCCAGCUGCAUAUGUAGCAGAGGAUGACCUUGUUGGGCACAAAUGGGAG
rnacentral:lncRNA from 1 species